CCUACGGGGGGCAGCAGUGGGGAAUAUUGGACAAUGGGGGCAACCCUGAUCCAGCCAUGCCGCGUGUGUGAAGAAGGCCCUCGGGUUGUAAAGCACUUUCAGUGAGGAAGAACGCCUGGUGGUUAAUACCCAUCAGGAAGGACAUCACUCACAGAAGAAGCACCGGCUAACUCCGUGCCAGCAGCCGCGGUAAUACGGAGGGUGCGAGCGUUAAUCGGAAUUACUGGGCGUAAAGCGCGCGUAGGUGGCUUGAUAAGCCGGUUGUGAAAGCCCCGGGCUCAACCUGGGAACGGCAUCCGGAACUGUCAAGCUAGAGUGCAGGAGAGGAAGGUAGAAUUCCCGGUGUAGCGGUGAAAUGCGUAGAGAUCGGGAGGAAUACCAGUGGCGAAGGCGGCCUUCUGGACUGACACUGACACUGAGGUGCGAAAGCGUGGGUAGCAAACAGGAUUAGAUACCCUAGUAGUC
rnacentral:rRNA from 1 species